GGGAUAUUUUCUCUACUGCAGAUGCAGCUUAGGAAAACGCAGGGAGCAUGCUAAAGACCUGCAGCUAUUUGCCUUGUACAAUUUGCUCAUUUCUCUUUAUUUCUCUGUUUUCCUGCACUGAUCACUUAAAGGACAAUCUCUCUUGCAAACAAAAUCCCCGGAGCCUGAUUAGAGGGACUGAAGGCUCCCAGACACGGAUUGCCUGCCAGCCACAGCACGGCGGAGCGGGCCCGGCAGGAGGCGGAGCGGGCCGCCGCACGUCCCCCGGCCGCUCGGCCGGCCCCCCCGCCAUGGGUCGGAAGCGCUGCGUGGGGGGAGACGGCUCCAAGAUGGCGGCGGGCUGCUGCGGGGUGAAGAAGCAGAAACUCUCCAGCUCCCCUCCGUCGGGCGCCGCCGGGCCGGGGAGCGGCGGCGGCGGCUCCCACUGCGGCGGGGCGGCGGCGGCGGCGGCGGGCGGCGAGCCGGGGGCGCUGCCCCCGCCGGGGGGUCCCCGCCUCAACGGCCUCGGGGGGCUGGCGGGGGGCGCCGCCGGCUGCGCCCUGGCCCCGCCGCUGCCGCCCAGCUGCGGCGGGGGCGCCGCCGGCCUCUCCCCGCCGGCCGCCGCCGCCUCGCUGCUCUCCUCCCCCGGCGCCGGCUCCGGCGGGCCCGGCUGCAGGAAGAUGGUGGUGUCGGCCGAGAUGUGCUGCUUCUGCUUCGACGUGCUCUACUGUCACCUCUACGGCUACCAGCCCCCGCGGAGCCCCCGCUUCACCAACGACCCCUACCCACUGUUUGUAACGUGGAAGAUCGGUCGAGAUAAACGAUUGCGUGGAUGCAUAGGUACUUUUUCCGCCAUGAACCUGCAUUCAGGACUCAGGGAGUACACGCUUACUAGUGCCCUUAAAGAUAGUCGUUUCCCCCCAAUGACGAGGGAUGAGCUGCCACGGCUUUUCUGCUCAGUGUCUCUACUCACUAACUUUGAGGAUGUAUGUGACUACAUGGACUGGGAGGUGGGUGUACAUGGCAUUAGAAUAGAAUUCAUCAAUGAAAAAGGAUCAAAACGCACCGCCACCUACUUACCGGAGGUUGCAAAGGAGCAAGGAUGGGACCACAUUCAAACCAUAGAUUCCUUAUUGAGGAAAGGAGGCUACAAAGCUCCGAUUACUAAUGAAUUCAGGAAAACCAUAAAGCUAACCAGACCUAAAAGGGGAAAGAACAACCAGAGCAACUCCAGAAGAGAAAUGUCAUAAACAGGGGAGGUGGCAAUAUUUUAGACCACUGUAGCUGGAUUCACCAACUCUCAUCUGUACCGUAGUGAGAAGAUGACCAUGAGCUACACAGAGUACCUUGCCCAUCGUCAGCAUCAUCACUUCCAAAAUGGCAUUGGGCACCCCCUUCCACCAUACAACCAUUAUUCCUGACACUGAGCCGCAUGACCAGUCACUGGACCUCUCUGCAGACCUCUUCCCAGGAGACCCUGCCCCUUCUUGGUCUAGCUAUCUCUAUUACUGUACCAUUUUAUGAUGAUAGUUUCCGUUGCCAUUUUGAGGCUUCUCCUUAGCGCGUUAAGCUCAUCAUGGCAACGGGAGGAAAAACUGCGAUAUUUACAAAGACCCCAUACUUUUUUAUUAUUGAGUCACUGCAGAUUUUUUUGCAGCAUAUAUAGCCCUUGUGUUUUUUAUGAAAUUUUAAAUUUCUACUUCAUUAACAUUGAAUUAUAUCAAUCAAGGCUUUCUGUGACUGUGGAUGGAAGGAAGAGUUUAAGGAUUACAGUUAGGGAUUCUUUGCUCAGAAAAAAGGCAUUCAUGGCUUUUUCAUUAAUAGCUCUGACAGGGAAUGAAACAUAUCAGAUUCAGGUGUUAUACUAGACAAUGAAUUGCAUUUUUAUAACCUUCUUAAUAAUAUUCUGUGUACAGUAUCUCACCCCUGCAGUAAAGAUUUCAUGUAGCUAUAUACAUGAUCUUCAGAUCCAGCACAUACAGCCAGAAUUUGAAGGCUGAUAUCCAAAAUGCUUUUUUUGGAUGUAGAGAAGCAAUGAAAUGUACAAUAAGAAGUGAAGUUCAUAUUACAGCAUUUUCAGAAUCAAGUGGUCUAAUUGAUAGGACAUGACAUAAUCCAGUAGGAUACCAGAUAGGUUUAUCUCCUAUUCUGCGCUGGAAGCUGAGGGAAGGCAGCCUUGCCAAGCCUGGUCAUAGUAAUGCAUUUGUAAUGAGAUGAUGCCUUUCUGAUGAUCUCAAAUUAGGAGUCACAUUUGUUUUUAAAAGCAGAUUGGUGAGUAGCAGAUGUCAUAUUAGGAAGAAAAUUGAUUUAGAUUUUAGUGCCUUUGACUAUGACAUUACUAUAUACUUGCAUAUACAAUUCAUAGAAAAAAUAUAGCAAAUGCGCCAGACAUUGUAGCAAACUAUAUUGAGUUCUCUGCUGCUCUGGCGUUGGGGUUUCUGGGAUUAUUUUUUUUUAAAGUGAGGUAUUUUUCUUUCUCUUUUUGUUAGCUUAUUCUAGAAAAGAAAAAUCCCUAUUUUGUUCUUUCUUGUGCUUUUGAACUUGCUGAGUUUUAUCAAGUCAUGAAUAGUUAGGUAAAGUUAACUUGUUUAAAAAAAAAAAAAAAAGUGUUGUGAAAGAGCACAGGACAAGUAUGCCAUAAUUUUUACAUGUUUUCAUCUAUUACAGGAAUAGUACUUGAGAGCUCUAAGUACUGUGUAAUAAUUCUGAUACUUCUCCAAGAGGUAAAGAAAGAAAACUGAUUAGAACUUUUAACAACUGUAAAAACAGGGUUAUUAAGAGGUACAUGUGGUAUAGUUGCAAGCCCAGUAUAUGCUAGGACCUACCUCCUUGCUUAUGUGCCUGCAGAACUCCCACUAAUACCUGUUGUAGGUCAGCGCAUGUUUUAGGGGACAACACAUCCCAUCUAUUAUAGAAAAGACCUUCCUAAUAUGGGUGAGUAAACUACGGUAAGCAGAAAUUCCAAUUAUUUUGAAUAAUGAAUGUUUAUAAAAUAUAUAUAUAAUUGAAAUGGAUGAAUUAAGAUUGAGGUAAUUUAAAAAAAAAAGUCUGACCAAUUGUACAAAUGUUUCAAAAAAACAGUUAUGGAUAAAUUUUGCUCAUCCCUUAUGUGAGAUUAGCUCUGCCACUUAAUUUAUAUGGAGGUUCUCAUAGAAAGUCUUUUGUAUUCCUUCAUCCACAGCAUCUGAUGUCCAAAUAUUUACAUUUUCAGUUGUGAUGCCUUAAUUUAUAAGCAGAAGGCCUGAAAUUUCAGGAGCCAAGAGGUGCCAGGCAGACGCUGCAGAAAUUAAUAGAUGUUUAUACAGAAGCUAUUUUGGAUGAUACUGUUGUCUUGUUUCUACUUGGGGAGCGGUUUUAAAUGGAUUUGUCUUCAAGUGGAAACUGAACAAGUGGCUACCUGAUAAAGUUUUUUUGUUUUGUUUUGUUUUUUCCUUGCCCUUACAGGGAAACUGAGCACAAACUGAAUCAUUCUGCUGCAAAAAAAAAAAAAAAAAAGUCAUCCGACCCCAUCUUUAUCUGUCAUCUCGUUACAGCAUGCUCAUGCUUCUGUAUGAGCUCAUUGUUAGAAGUUUUUUAAAAAGAUCUAUUAUAUAUAAAAAUAUAUAUGUAUUGAAAGGUGCUAAUCAACCUCAAGCAGGUCACGUGACUGGUCAUGCGGAUCUAAAAUCAUAUCAGAUUUUUUAAAAAAUCUUCGAUAUAUGCAGAUGUUAUACAGAAUUUCUUACCAGUGUAAUAAUGAUAUACUGAUGAAUAAACAAUCCUGCAGGUUUUUAAGGACAAGGUCAGCAAUACUUCCCACCAUGGCUUGGGGGGGAAAAGGAUAGUUUUGUCUCCUUUUUGUAUACAGCAUAAUGCACAAUGCAUUUUUGUCUAUCUAUUAGUAGCUGUUGCUUAAAAAUAUAGUUAAAAGGGUGUUAUACAAACUGUAAAGGUGUGCUUUUGAAAUGAGUUAAUGCCAGACCCUUCUGGACCAGAGUUUUGUAUCACUAAUUAAAAAAACUGUUACAAAGUCUGUGGUCAAUCAGAUUGUAUGGUAUUUUGUAGAAGAGAUUGGAAUAAUCAGUUUAUCUACAGUGUUUCUAGGGCACCUACCUCCUCAGCAUGCAAGUGCUGAAAAUGCUAUGGAUUGUUUCUGUGUAAAUGUGGGUUUAUUUGUACAAAAUGUGCAGUUCACUGUGACAUGCACUGGGACAGAAUAGGUCUGUUUGCUUAAAGCUAAUCAACAAUUGCUUUCACAAAUGUCAUUCCCUCAUAGUUAUGUUUAUUACCCUUUUAGAUAUAUUACUGGGUUUAGAUACAGAUUUUUUUUUUAUUGUUAUUUUAUUUGGGGUACUUUAUAAAAAGUUAAGGUACAACCAAGCAGUUAAUUUCACUGUUUUUAAGUUGGAAUGCUAAUUUUUGUUAAGCGCUAAUCCAUUUGCCUUAUUCCAUUAAAACAAUUUUAUUUUUUAAUUCUUUUGCUUAAUGUUCCUAAAAGCCCUCUUCUAUAAACUAAAGUUUAAAAAAAAAAAUAAUGGACUUGACAUGAAACUAUUGCUUAGUCGUGCCUCAAGUGGCCUUCCUUCUGUCUAGACUGCCGUAGCACUGAUUUUUCACCAUCUCAACCCCAAAUGCUGGUCACAGCAGGGGGAGGGCACAUGAGAGUCCUGACCUCAGAUACACUAUGAAAUCAAGACAGUCAAAUCCAUUUUUGCACACCCUGGCGUUUGUAUAUGGACCUCUUUACUUGUCUUCAAAUGUGCGGGUUUUUAAAAUUGUUGUCUGGAGUAGGUUACAUCUCUUGUGUGUGUUAGAUCGAACCAAAGAAGCCUCCAGCCAUGCCCAAAUGCUGCUCCUAAAGCCUGCCUUCCAGUCCUUACAAAAUCCCUGCAGGAUUAAAUGUGUUAACUUUUUUAUUUUUGUACAGUUUCUAACUGAUUUUUGCUAGUGAUGUUAAUUGAAUUAAGUUUAUGUGGGGAGUCUGAGUAUCUCCUCCAUUUAAAUAAACUGGUGACUUUCCUUUUAUGUUUAAAAAAAAAAAAAAAAGAAAAAAAAAAAGAAAAAAAGGAAACCCAAAGUGUGCCUCUCAGAUUUAAAGGGUUUCUGGUUACAUUUAUUCUUAAGACCAGCAAUGAUUCUUUAUAUACAAAGAUAUGUUUUCCUCGUUUUUUAUUACUGUUAAAUAAAAUAAAAAAUAAAAAAUAAAAACCUCUUUCUUUGCUCUGGACCCAGUAAUUGCGCUGGUACAUAAACGCACUGAGAAAACAAACUUUUGUUUGAAACUUUUGUAACAACUUAUGACUGUUUUUGUAUAUCGAAGUUGAUUCUUUUCAGAAUAUUUGGAUCUAGUUUCUAAGUUAUUUUAGUGUUUUAUAUGUUACAAAAAAAAAAAUUAAUUGUUCACCAGCAUCUUGAGUUAUCUGUAAUGCAGUGGUGACACACAAUGGGCUUAGGGCUACCUGGAGUAGCUUACAAAGCCUCUCUCUUUUCCUUCCUUUCUUAGUAACUUGAUUGAUUACAAUUAUAUCAGAUUACCUGAACCCCCUUCCUUUAUUACUAGAUCCUCCUUCCUUCCACAUUUAAUUGCUAUUAGUGUGAAGAAACUGUUGAAAUGGGCAUUUUAAUAUAAGUAUGGCUUAAAAAGAUAAAAUGAGGAAAAAGCAAAAAAAAUUAUAUAUAUAGAAGGUUAUCUGUGGGUCUGUGAGAUAUGGCUGUGGAAAGAUAUUGUAGUAGUUUUAACACUAUUGUUAUUACCUUUUAAAUCAUUUACCCAAUAAAAUAAGGAAAAAGAAUCA